rnacentral:rRNA from 1 species
AGCGGAAGGCCCUUCGGGGUACUCGAGCGGCGAACGGGUGAGUAACACGUGAGUAACCUGCCCCUAGCUCUGGGAUAAGCCCGGGAAACUGGGUCUAAUACCGGAUAUGACCAUCACCCGCAUGGGUCGAUGGUGGAAAGUUUUUCGGCUGGGGAUGGACUCGCGGCCUAUCAGCUUGUUGGUGGGGUAAUGGCCUACCAAGGCGACGACGGGUAGCCGGCCUGAGAGGGCGACCGGCCACACUGGGACUGAGACACGGCCCAGACUCCUACGGGAGGCAGCAGUGGGGAAUAUUGCGCAAUGGGCGGAAGCCUGACGCAGCGACGCCGCGUGGGGGAUGAAGGCCUUCGGGUUGUAAACCUCUUUCACCACCGACGAAGCGAAAGUGACGGUAGGUGGGGAAGAAGCGCCGGCUAACUACGUGCCAGCAGCCGCGGUAAUACGUAGGGCGCAAGCGUUGUCCGGAAUUAUUGGGCGUAAAGAGCUCGUAGGCGGUCCGUCACGUCUGCCGUGAAAACCCGAGGCUUAACCUCGGGCCUGCGGUGGAUACGGGCGAACUAGAGGUAGGUAGGGGAGAACGGAAUUCCCGGUGUAGCGGUGAAAUGCGCAGAUAUCGGGAGGAACACCGGUGGCGAAGGCGGUUCUCUGGGCCUUACCUGACGCUGAGGAGC